rnacentral:rRNA from 1 species
CAAAGGAAUUGACGGGGCCGCACAAGCGGUGGAGUAUGUGGUUUAAUUCGAUGCAACGCGAAGAACCUUACCUGGCCUUGACAUCCCGGGAAUUUCCUGGAAACAGGAGAGUGCUUUCAUUAGAGAGAACCUGGAGACAGGUGCUGCAUGGCUGUCGUCAGCUCGUGUCGUGAGAUGUUGGGUUAAGUCCCGCAACGAGCGCAACCCUUGCCUUUAGUUGCCAGCAGUUCGGCUGGGCACUCUAAAGGGACUGCCGGUGUCAAACCGGAGGAAGGUGGGGAUGACGUCAAGUCCUCAUGGCCUUUAUGACCAGGGCUACACACGUACUACAAUGGCCGGUACAAAGGGCAGCGACACAGCGAUGUGAAGCCAAUCCCGAAAAGCCGGUCUCAGUCCGGAUUGGAGUCUGCAACUCGACUCCAUGAAGUUGGAAUCGCUAGUAAUCGCGGAUCAGCACGCCGCGGUGAAUACGUUCCCGGGCCUU